UACGAGGGGUGCUAGCGUUGUUCGGAAUCAUUGGGCGUAAAGAGUAUGUAGGCGGCCAUAUAAGUCAGUUGUGAAAUCCCCGGGCUCAACCCGGGAAGUGCAAUUGAUACUGUAUGGCUUGAGUAUGGAAGAGGGUAGUGGAAUUCCAGGUGUAGUGGUGAAAUACGUAGAUAUCUGAAGGAAUACCGGUGGCGAAGGCGGCUACCUGGUCCUAUACUGACGCUGAGAUACGAAAGCAUGGGUAGCAAACAGG
rnacentral:rRNA from 1 species